GUCCUUUAGUACCCGACGCUGUCUGGUAAUUCCGGGCGUUUCGGCUCCUUGGUCGCAGAGGCAGGAGGCACCUGACCGCAUGUCUGUCAUGGACGUCGCCAGUACUUGCUCCAGCUUUCAGUCGGACUUGGAUUUCUGUUCGGAUUGCGGCUCGGUCCUGCCUCUGCCCGGGGCUCAGGAUACGGUCACCUGUACUCGCUGUGGCUUCAACAUCAACGUUCGGGGUUGACAGGCGCUGCCCUCGAUGUGGUCAUGAAGGAAUGGCGUACCACACCAGACAGAUGCGUUCAGCCGAUGAAGGGCAAACUGUCUUCUACACCUGUACCAACUGCAAGUUCCAGGAGAAGGAAGACUCUUGACCUUUUUCCUGGGCAACUCAACAAUCCCUCCCUCCUUUCGGAAGGUGAAGGAUACUGGGUUUUUAGAUGCCUUGUCCAUCCAGUCUGGUUGCAAUGUUUUGCUCCCAGAAGAGAAUCAGAUCAUCAUGUGGGGAUUACCAUUGUUCCUGGAGUACUCCUACCCUUAGUUGAAUUUCCUUAUUAAAGUUAUAUUUUUCUAUAAGACCCUGACA
rnacentral:sRNA from 1 species